rnacentral:lncRNA from 1 species
CCUCAGCCUCCUGUGUAGCUGGGACUACAGGUGCUCGCCACCAUGCCCCACUGAUUUUUUGUAUUUUUUAGUAGUGACGGGGUUUCACCAUGUUAGCCAGGAUGGUCUGGAUCUCCUGACCUUGUGAUCUGCCCGCUUCGGCCUCCCAAAGUGUUGGGAUUACAGGCGUGAGCCACCGCCCCGGCCUCCUUUCUUUAUUAUUUACUUUCUAUUUAAAGAACUUCAGCCAUUCUUUACAGGUUCUAUGGUGGAUUCAACAGGGAACAAUAUGAACAAGGUCCCGAAGAGCCUUUUGGAGUCAUAGAUCAGUUGGUUUCAUCCACAAAGGAAGACUGGAAAGAAGAGGUGAUUCAUAUGUGAGAAUAAAACCAAAGCCAAACCUGAAGCCAAUCAUUCAGAGAGCCCAAGGCACAAACCAACAACUCUGAAUCAACUCACUGAGUCCCUACUGUGUUUAUGGUAUUCACCUCCACCCCUAGGACACCAGGUCCUUUCCUAGAAAAGCUUCUCCCAUUCAUCUGAUUGCUUCCAACUAGGCUGAGAAUCAUCUCAGCAAUACACAAGACAUCUGCACCUCCAGAAGCUGCAGACAAAGUCAAAGGUACUGCCCAGUCCUGCCCUGUCUUCUGAUCCAAUUCUGAACCCACCUAGAAACACAAAGCUAGGGGGAUUUUCCAGGUUUCUGAUUUCACUGCAAAAGUGCCUGUGUGCCUCAGUUGAAUUGUGUAGGUAAUUUGACUUUAAGAUGGCUUUUUGAAAGAAUAAAUCAGUGACACCCAAUAAUUUCUUUAAAGGAACAUGGAAUCUAAAAGAACCAAAAUAUAGUAUUAGCCAAAGAAGGCACUCCUCAGCCAAGCCUUCCAUUUGGGGUUCUAACUCUUUGUCAGACCUUGGGACAUCAGAGAUUGCUCAUUCUAACUUCAGUACAGCCUCCUGCCCUGAGAAAGGAACCAUCAGAACAUUCAAUCACUUUUAUAGAACAACUGCAGUGACUUAAGGUGUAAAUGGAUUGGAAACAAAAGGCUUGCAUUUUCCUUGAUACACAAAAGGGGUUAAAAAUUAAGAGGAAGCCUGUAGGGAAGGGUUUUUGCUGAAUCUAAUGCAUUUUUCAAAACACUCUAAAAAGAGCUAUGGGCCCAGAGCCAGCUGAGCUCAAUCUCCUGAAUUUUAUUUUAAGCAGAUCAAGCUUGUAGGUUAUACUAUUUAUACUAUUUGCCAUGUUUUCCAUUUAGACAAAAAUCCCCUAGAAUCUACAGGAAAGGAAAAGGAAGCAGCAUUUUAUGGCUCACGCUUGCAAUGGCUAACUGGUUUAUAGAAAGACUGUGAAGGCAUUUGGCUUCAAACGACAACUCUUGGGAGUCCAGGGUCAGCAAGGUUCCUGGAGGGUGAUGGGCUGCUCUGGGCACUGGCAUGAAGAGAAGCCACAGUCAGCCAACUCUGACUUCUCUUAGGCUGGACAUGAGGACAGAGCCAGAAAGCCCCCUGGAGCAGACUAUGUCCCAUCUCCUUGAGGCCUGCAAGAACCUGGCUUAGUCUGUUUUGUGCUGCUAUAACAGAAUACACAGAGUGGGUAAUUUAUAAAGAGCAGAGUUAUUUCUUACAGGUCUGCAGACUGGGAAGUCCAAGAUCAAGGGGCCCACAUUUGGAAAAGGACUUCUUGCUGUAUCAUUCCAUGGUGAAAGGCAGAAGGGCAAGAGGAGCCAAACUCGCUUUUGUAACAACCCACUCCCACAAUAAGGACACGAAUCCAUUCAGGAGAGCAGAGCCCCCAUGACCUAAUCACUUCUUCAGGGUUCCACUUGCAACACUAUUGUAUUGGGGAUUAAGUUUCCAACCCACGAACUCUAUGGUUUGAAUGAGAAAACAAGAAAACCAAGGCCUGGGGAGGGAAGGAACUCUCCACUAUCAGAGUCUGUUAGUCCUGGAGCUGGACUUAAAUUUGCUUGUGUCCAGAGGGAAGCACCUACCCCAAGAGCAUCACUUGGAGGACUUUGUGUGGGAGCUGAGGCUGGUCCUGGGGGUGCCAGGAGAAGAAUCAGAAGGACUGGGCUUGAUUCCCAACCCCACCAACAAUAAAGGCUCAGGCACUUUAUUAACAUCUUUGGGCGGUUUCCUCAUCAGUUGAAAAAGGAAGAUAGCAUAUGCAGAGUUUGUGUGAUGAUAAAGGAGACAUAGGAGACAAAGCAGGUUUGCCCAGACAGUGCCCAGCACAGAGUGGUGGUCUGCUGCUGUGAGUGCCAUCAACCCACUUGGGGCCCUGUGGCCUUGGUCCCUCCAAGGGAAGCUCCAUGCUCAGGCUUUCCCACCUGGUCUUAAACAACAACUAAAUCACUUUGAUUUCAUGUUGAAGGCAGCAAGAAAAAGAAAAUCUCUGCCUAGCUUCUGGCUUCCUUGUGACAUUAGCCUUCGAAUUAAGUAUAUACAAAAAUCACACAGUUUAACCACAAGAAAACCUCCAUAAACCAGUCCACAUAUCCUGAACAAAAGUGCUUUCAAAUGACAGAGGCAUGGUUAAAAAGUUUACUGAGAAUAACUACACUUCAUAAAAAGCAAAAUCCGUGACUCAACCCCACUCACAGAGUGGGGAUGGGGACAGAGGUGGACAUCAGCGGCCAUAGAUUGAUCAAAUCUCCCAUUAUUCCAAGCAGGCAGAACCCAGGGAACUCAGGUUGGGACAAAGAGCCCAUUAGAGGGCAGGAGCUUGGAAGAGAGGUCAGCACAGAGAUGGGGAGCAGAGAGGCUUGGCCUGGGACACUCACAGGGGAGCCCACAGAUCCUGCUGGAUGCCGGUCACAGGAAGCAUCAGGGAACAUGACAUAUGACACCGGGCUUUACAGAUGUUCUGCUGAGGAGCUGGAGAAUUGUGGCUACAGGAGAAAGACACAUUUGGGACCCAGAAAAUUCUUUUUAUGAUGCCAAUUUCAAGAGUAAGGGGAGUCUAUAAAACAUGCGGGGGGCUCUGGUUUCUGACUCCGCUGUGCAUACAAGUGUGAAAUAGAACAGUGUUUUGUGCUAGGUGGAGAAAACUGCAUGUUCAGUCCAUAUAUCUUGGCUCAUAAGUCAUUUCUGUAGGAUCGCCCAGCCAGCUGCAUCUCCAGCCAACAAGGCCUUGCACUCUCAUUUCUAAAGCUUGUUUAAAUGAAAUCCAUAGAUUCCCAAGUAGUGUCUCUUGUUCCUGCCUUAGACAGGUGUAGUCUGCAUCCAUUCUGUUAAGCAACUUGGCUGUACUUACGUCAUCUCAAGGACCUGUGAGGUGUUAUCACUGCCCCAUUUCUCAAAUAGGGAAAUCAUGUCCACAGGAGGAGGGACUUCCUUGAGGUUCACAGCUAGUCAAGGAUGGAGAGCAGGCCUGUUAACUCAGCUGUGCCCACCUCUGAAGGUGGCUCUGCUCUCCUUCUGCCGAUGUUCCAAAUGGGACAGGUGUGGUGACACGGGGACCACAGAAGGCCAGGUCUGUCUCCUGAGAUGGCUGGUGGGUUAGUCCCAGCCAUGCUGAGUGGCUCUGGCUUCAGGGGCAGAGUCAUUAUGCCCCAGCUUUAGUAAAGGGAUGCAUCAACCCGUCCCCAUCUGAUAAUUUGAUAAUACACAGGAAACCAAUGUAAAGUCAGAAAGUUGCCAAAACAGCCAAUGCUUCUGCAUCCUGGGUCUGAAUUUACAUCUGCCCCAGGAACCUCCCAGGUGGUGACGCAUGGCCAGCACCAUCUGUUUCCCAGCAUUCUCGGCUCCAGGUGUGGCCCAUGGGCCAGCAGCCUGAGCAGCGGCUGAAGCUUGUUAGACUGCAGACCCCCAGUCCUGUGCAGAGCUGCUGAAUAAAACCCCCAGGGGAUUUGUGAGCACUGUGAAGGGUGAGAAGCACUGCCCAGGUGGCACAAAGAAGUAGAAUGCCAGCUUUGUCCCCUGAGAUACUUCCUGUCUGGGCCUCCCUGGUUGGGCUUCUCCAUUGCAGCUGGCUACAUGGAUUCAAGUUCUAGGAAGGCCAGUGAGACUGCAGAGAAGUUACUCAACUGCGCAGGACACAUUUCCUAACCUGUAAAUGAGAACAGCAGCAGAGCCUAUGCAUGCGGAUUCUUGGGAGGAAUGAAUCAGGACAGGGCGUGAUGUAGCCAGCACAGUGUGGAUGCUCGCUGCCCUUCUGACUGGGACAUGUGCUUUGCUGACACAUGCAGCUUGGUUAAAGUCACAGCUUACUGACUUGAAAGUCUUUAAAAUAAUUUUAUAAUCUCUGCUAUGAACUCAAUAGGAGUUCAUUAUAAACAUUUCAUCCAUUUAUAUUUCCCCCAUUGCCAAUCCCUUGUGGUAACUGUUAUGAACUGACCAGGUUUUACACGAACUCAUGUGCCUUCUGGUGCCUGCAUGUGUUCAUGAAGCUACUCAUUCAGGUGCAGAUGCUUACAGAGGACUCUACGGUGUGUGAGUUCCUGGAACUCAGAAUCAAUGAAGAAACUCCCUUUACUCUCAUGAUCCAAUCAAUGAUAGAGAGUGAUGUGGUGUAGGAUUAAAGAAGCUCUGGUCUCCCAGGGUAUAAAGAAGCUCCUAGCCCAACCCAGUUGGGAGAGAGCUCCCCAGAGGGGGCUAUGCUGAGCUGUGGUCUUCCGGAGCUGAAGGGUGUGUUUAACCCCUGGGGACAGAAGCAGGGAACUCCUGGGGGCCAUGUCCUUCCUCCACCCCUAUUUCUUGUUAAGAGAAACCCAGUCUCAUACAUUAAGCCGAGAAUGGGGAUACAUUCAUUUGUUGGAGAAUUUAAAGAACAAGAUGUUGUAUUUGGACAGAAAGAAAUGGCUGUUUUUUGAGUAAGGAAAUCUGACACAGGCCACCACAUGGAUGAACCUUGAGGACAUCAUGCUUAGUGAAAUAAGCUAGUCAGAAAAGGUCAAUUCUGCAUGAUUCCACUUAUAUGAGGGUCCUAGGGGAGUUAAAAUUAUAGAGACAGGAAGGCUAAUGGUGGUUGCCAGGGCCUGGGGAGAGGCAGGAAUGCGAACUGACUGUUUAAUGGGUUCAGAGCUUCAGUUUUGCAAGAUGAAGAGUUCUGGAGAUGGACAGUAGUGAAGGUUGCACAGCAACAAGAAUGUACUUAAUGCCACUGAAUUGUUCACUUAAAAUGGUUGAGAAAGUCAAUUUUAUGUUAUGUAUAUUUUAUAAUUUAAAAACUGGGAAAAAGAAAUGACUGCCUAUGAUAUAUUAAAGUGAAAAAAGAGAGAGAAGGGGGAGUAAAAGAUGCAUGCUCUUAUUCUGAUCACUCAAUUAAGUGAAAUAGUAUAAAUCCUCAAUUUAAGGUAAAAAUUACUCCUUGGCUUUGUAAAGAGUGUCAGACUCUGAGACAGAGAGAACUAGCUUCCUGUCUUGCUCUUACAGUUACUGGCUCAAUGGACUUUAUCUUUAGAACAUUCAGUCUCUUCAUCUAUAAAAUGCAGCAAAAUAAUACACAGGUUUUUGAAACCUUUGGUUAGAUCUCAUUAAACACUCUGUGCAGCCUGGUUCAUCCUGCAAACUGCAGAGAAAGAGGUUUAUAAACCUAGAUGACAGAGCAGGCCGUGGGCAUUGCAGAGGAGUUAUCUGGAACUCUCAGUGAAUCCCACAACUCAUAAAUAAUAUUAUGACAAAAACUCUUUCAGUCAUUCCAAAAAUGUGCUGCUAUCAGAGGUGUUAUUAUAAUUUUUUUUUAACUUGGAUGUCCAAGAGGGGACGGGCAGUUCUUAAUGUUAUCCUUUAAUGCCUUAGACUGGCCAGGAUGGUGGGACACCCUUGCUCAGUGUUGGAGGCUACCAUGUGACAGUACAGGCUAAGGCUGGCCUGUCCCCAUAUGGACUUGUGUCUGCUAUUAAAUGCUGUCCUCAACUUUAACCUUUUUCCUAGAUGAGCUUUGUAUGAGUUUUCUAUUGCUGCAUAAGAAAAUUACUCCAAGGCAUUAGUGGCUUAAAACAAUACUUAUUUUGCUUAUGAAUCUGAAAGUCAGACAAUGUGGCUUAUCUGUGCCUUAUGUGGCAUACGUUGGGUUGGAGGGUCUACUUCCAGGCUGGCUCGUUCACUUGGCUGGCAAGUGGCCACUGGCUGUGGACCAGGAGUUCAGCUGGGGCUGGGCACUUGGGAUCAGUUCUUCCACACGUAGGCCCCUCCACAGGCUGCUGGGGCUUUCUCACAGUGUGGUGGUAGGGCUCCAAAAGUAACUGUCCCCAGAGAACCUAGCAGAAAUGCAUGACAAUAUUAUGACCCAGCCUAGCCUUGGAUGUCACAUGGUGUCACUUCCUCCAUAUUCUAUUACUCAAAGCAGUCACCCAGGCCUGGUUCCAGGGGAGAGGUCAUAGGUGCCACUUCUAGAUGAGGGAAGUGGUAAGAUUGUGGAAAGGCACGUGGGACAGAAGAUACUGUUAGGGCCAUCUUUGAAAAAUACAAUCUGCCACAAGUUCUGUCCUCAGCUGGGAAGAGUGCCACCCCUGUCUGCAAGUUCCUCAAGUUUCCCUAACUUAACUUUGCUAGGAGGAAGGGCCUGUUUGGCCAAAUACCUAAUGCCUUCCUCCCCUUCUCAGAGGGAUGUGAAUAACUUUCCUGCUUUCCCCCAAAUCUUAUUUCUGCUGAGAAUCAGGAGUACAGCUUCCUGUUAGUGUCACUUCACCACCAUCUCCAUUAAACAUCCUUCUCACUUGGUAAUCAGUUUUCCAGCUGCAGCACCUCUGAGAUCACUCCAGAAAUCAUGCCCUCUGCUCCCAGUGUGGGGACCUGUGCUAAUCUGAGGCGGGUCCUGAAGCAGCGCCUCUUGGACCUGCUUCUCAGACACUCCAUCAGAAGCAAGACACAGUGCCUCCCACUCCGGCAGCUCACCCAAAUGAAGGGCCCCUCUCCCUUCAUCUAGCACUGCCUGGCCCCUGUCAGACCUCAGCCAUCACCACUCCCCAUGGAGCCAGAGCUGAUAGAAGUAUCAGUCCAUAAGCCAUUCAGACAUGCAGACAGACACAGGCCUGGGAAACUGGACUUCUCAAGUCAGUGACGAAAGCUCUGGUGAACACAGCUGAGGAGGUGCUGUCAUGAUUCUCUCCCAUCCCCCAGGAGAGGAAACUGAGGCCUAGGGAGGGUUAAUGAUGUGUUCAUGGUUACAGCUGGAACAUUUCAACUAAAAAUUUUUGAAGUUGUGUCCAGAAUGUUUCCUAUAACAUUCUGACUUUCCAGAAAAAAAUGUAAUUGCUAUAUUUCUCAUAGUAUUUAUCUUAUGCAUCAAAGUGUGAUGUAAGAGUAAUAAAAAAGGAAUGAACUAUUGAUAUAUACAGCAACAUGAAUGAAUCUUAAUAAAAAGAGUGUACACUCAUCCAUCCAUAGAAAACUCCAGAAAAUGCAAACUAGUGAAUAGUAACAAAACAGAUCAAUGUUUGCCUGAGGAUGGGGGCAUAAGGGUGGGAGAAAAGGAUUAUAUACGGGUGCAAGGAAACUAGGAAAUGAUGGAUGUCUUUGUUAUCUUGAUGUGGUGGUGAUUUCAUAUGUGUCACAAUGUUAAAAAUUGUGCAUUUUAAAUGAGCAGUUUAUUGUAUGUCUACUAUACCUCAAAAAAGCUAUUAAACAUGAAUAAAAAUUAUUAUGUGAAACAGAGCUAAAGUUAUUUUACAGCCAUGAAGAAAUCAGGAUUCCUUUCUAUAAAUAUGUUUGAAUAAUUUUAAUCUGGUGAAGAUUUGUACUAAUUUCUUAGAGAAAGGAAAAACACAAAUAAAUGAUGA